GUUUCCGUAGUGUAGCGGUUAUCACGUUCGCCUCACACGCGAAGGUCCCCAGUUCGAAACUGGGCGGAAACA
rnacentral:tRNA from 1 species